rnacentral:rRNA from 1 species
UACGGGGGGAGCAAGCGUUGUUCGGAUUUACUGGGCGUAAAGGGCGCGUAGGCGGCGUGACAAGUCACUUGUGAAAUCUCCGGGCUUAACUCGGAACGGUCAAGUGAUACUGUCGUGCUAGAGUACAGAAGGGGCAACUGGAAUUCUCGGUGUAGCAGUGAAAUGCGUAGAUAUCGAGAGGAACACCAGUGGCGAAGGCGAGUCCCUGGACAACUCCUGACACUGAGGCACGAAAGCUAGGGGAGCAAACAGG